UUUAGCAGCCAUAUCACCCUGCAACUCACAACUGGCAACCCACUGAAGCUAAGCAGGUGUGAGCCUGGUCAGUACCUGGAUGGGAGACUCCUGGGAAAAACUAAGGUUGCUGCUGGAA
ensembl:rRNA 5S_rRNA 5S ribosomal RNA